GUUUGAUCCUGGCUCAGGACGAACGCUGGCGGCGUGCUUAACACAUGCAAGUCGAACGAUGAACCCGCUUCGGUGGGGGAUUAGUGGCGAACGGGUGAGUAACACGUGGGCAAUCUGCCCUGCACUCUGGGACAAGCCCUGGAAACGGGGUCUAAUACCGGAUAUUGACCUGCUUGGGCAUCCAAGUGGGUGGAAAGCUCCGGCGGUGCAGGAUGAGCCCGCGGCCUAUCAGCUUGUUGGUGAGGUAGUGGCUCACCAAGGCGACGACGGGUAGCCGGCCUGAGAGGGCGACCGGCCACACUGGGACUGAGACACGGCCCAGACUCCUACGGGAGGCAGCAGUGGGGAAUAUUGCACAAUGGGCGGAAGCCUGAUGCAGCGACGCCGCGUGAGGGAUGACGGCCUUCGGGUUGUAAACCUCUUUCAGCAGGGAAGAAGCGAAAGUGACGG
rnacentral:rRNA from 1 species